rnacentral:rRNA from 1 species
UGGGGAAUAUUGGACAAUGGGCGGAAGCCUGAUCCAGCAACGCCGCGUGAGGGAUGACGGCCUUCGGGUUGUAAACCUCUUUCAGCGGGGACGAAGCGCCGAUGAUGGUGGUGACGGUACCCGCAGAAGAAGCACCGGCCAACUACGUGCCAGCAGCCGCGGUAAUACGUAGGGUGCGAGCGUUGUCCGGAAUUAUUGGGCGUAAAGGGCUCGUAGGCGGUUUGUCGCGUCGGGAGUGAAAACACCGGGCUUAACUCGGUGCUUGCUUUCGAUACGGGCAGACUAGAGGUAUGCAGGGGAGAACGGAAUUCCUGGUGUAGCGGUGAAAUGCGCAGAUAUCAGGAGGAACACCGGUGGCGAAGGCGGUUCUCUGGGCAUUACCUGACGCUGAGGAGCGAAAGUGUGGGGAGCGAACAG